rnacentral:rRNA from 1 species
GCAGCAGGCGCGAAAACUUUACACUGCGGGAAACCGCGAUAAGGGGACCACGAGUGCCAGCACCUAGUGCUGGCUGUCCUACUGUCUAAAUAACAAUGGUUAGCAAGGGCCGGGCAAGACCGGUGCCAGCCGCCGCGGUAACACCGGCGGCCCGAGUGGUAACCGUUUUUAUUGGGUUUAAAGGGUCCGUAGCCGGCUUAUUAAGUCUCUUGGGAAAUCUGGCGGCUCAAUCGUCAGGCGGCCAAGAGAUACUGGUAGGCUUGGGACCGGGAGAGGUGGGAGGUACUCCAGGGGUAGGGGUGAAAUCUCGUAAUCCUUGGGGGACCACCGAUGGCGAAGGCAUCCCACCAGAACGGGUCCGACGGUGAGGGACGAAAGCUGGGGGCACGAACCGGAUUAGAUACCCGGGUAGUCCCAGCUGUAAACGAUGCUCGCUAGGUGUCAGGUGCGGUGCGACCGCAUCUGGUGCCGCAGUGAAAACUUGAAGCGAGUCACCUGGGAAGUACGGUCGCAAGGCUGAAACUUAAAGGAAUUGGCGGGGGAGCACUACAACAGGUGGAGCCUGCGGUUCAAUUGGACUCAACGCCGGAAA